UACCAAUUUGGGCUGGUCACUGGAC
rnacentral:piRNA from 1 species